rnacentral:rRNA from 1 species
AUAGCUUUAGGGCUAGCCUCAAGGUGAGAGAUACGGAGGUAGAGCACUGAAUGUCCUAGGGGGUAUUGCACCUACCGAAGACUAUCAAACUCCGAAUGCCGUCAUCUUAUACUUGGGAGUCAGACUGUGGGUGAUAAGAUUCAUAGUCGAAAGGGCAACAGCCCAGAUCGUCAGCUAAGGUCCCUAAAUGUAAGUUAAGUGGUAAAGGAUGUGGGAUUGCACAGACAACCAGGAUGUUGGCUUAGAAGCAGCCACUCAUUCAAAGAGUGCGUAAUAGCUCACUGGUCGAGUGAUCCUGCGCCGAAGAUUUCCGGGGCUAAAACUUACUACCGAAGCUACGGCAUCAGUAAUGAUGGGUAGGGGAGCUUCCCAGACGGGUUGAAGCAUGACCGUAAGGACAUGUGGACAGUAGGGGAGUGAGAAUGUUGGCAUGAGUAGCGAGAUGUGGGUGAGAAUCCCACAGGCCGUAUACCCAAGUUUUCCAGGUGAAGGUUCGUCCGCCCUGGGUUAGUCGGGACCUAAGCUGAGGCCGAAAGGCGUAGGUGAUGGACAACAGGUGGA